rnacentral:misc_RNA from 1 species
GGUUGGAUCAUUACCAAUUCUAUUAGCAGAAUAAGCUUCCCAAGGAAUGGGAAUGCCUUUAUUGGCAGGCCCUCUAUGGACGGGCAUGGUUUGACUGUGCUCUGAAAUGUGGGUUAUUUUCUGGGAAGCGCUGCUAAUUCCACCCCAACCGUGAACUUGAACCCCCGUAUCUUGGGUCAUCCCGCCUACAUUUGCUUGCAAAUGUAUGUGUGCGGUGUUGCUUUGGCGUAAUUUUUCGUCAGUUAAGAGCUUCACUCUGGAUGGCCCAGCCUAUUUUAAGCACCAUUGUAUUACAUACCAAAACCUUACAAUUCUUUUGACCUUGUUCGAAUUUGAGCAGCGAUGCUUGAAGGAGGGCUGGUUAAACUAAUAAUCUUAAAACAACUUUUGACAACGGAUCUCUUGGCUCUCGCAACGAUGAAGAACGCAGCGAAAUGCGAUACGUAAUGUGAAUUGCAGAAUCACGUGAAUCAUCGAAUCUUUGAACGCACAUUGCGCUCCUUGGUAUUCCGAGGAGCAUGCCUGUUUGAGAACCGAUAAAACCCUCACACCGAUGGUGGCUGGCGUCAUUGCCGCCGCUGGAGGAGUGGAAAUGGGCCUUCUCUGCUGCCCUCCCUCUUUUGGAGGCACGAAUGAGUGGCCUGAAAUACAGUCCUUGUGGGAGGCCGAAAACGAGCUAUUGGAGGCGCGUCUAAGCGCUGAAGCCCGUCAAUCUUUUCUUCCACGUUCGUUGUGCGACAUGAAAUCAAAUGGCUGUGGCCUACUUGUUCAUGGAGCGCUUCGACGUGUUUAGAACUCGACGUGGUAUUUAGGCCGAGCGUCUGCAGGCUCUUGCGAUUAGGAGCCCUCAACCCAACUUUAACAUGCCAGGCGGCCAGCAAUGGUCGAAAACCUGAACAAUGGUCUCAAAUCAGGCAAGAGGACCCGCUGAACUUAAGCAUAUCAAUAAGCGGAGGAAAAGAAACCAACCGGGAUUCCCCUAGUAACGGCGAGUGAAGCGGGAAGAGCUCAAUUUUGAAAUCUCGCUGUUUCACAGCGCGAAUUGUAGUUUCGAGAAACGCUUUCGAGGGCGGGCCGGGCGUAAGUCCGUUGGAACACGGCGUCAGAGAGGGUGAGAAUCCCGUCUGUCGUCCGGAUUCCGCUUUCAUGUGAGGCGCUUUCAAAGAGUCGGAUAGUUUGGGAAUGCUGUCCAAAAUGGGUGGUAAAUACCAUCUAAAGCUAAAUACCGGCGAGAGACCGAUAGCGAACAAGUACCGUGAGGGAAAGAUGAAAAGAACUUUGAAAAGAGAGUUAAACAGUACGUGAAAUUGUCAAAAGGGAAACGCUUGACAUCAGUGUCGCGUCUCAGAGAUCAGCCGCCUUCACGGUGGUGCACUCUCCGAGUCGCGGGUCAGCAUCGGUUUAACCAGGGACAAAAUGCCGUCGGAAGGUAGCCCCUCGGGGUGUUAUAGCUGACGGUGAUAUCCUGGGUUGGACCGAGGAUCGCAGCCUUGCUAAAGGGGACCCCUCUGCCGCCUGACGCCCGAUGUUGGACAACUUGUUGACCAAUGUUGAAGCCAUGGCGCCCAGUGGUCAGUCUCACUCCUGGGCUUGGGAUGCUGGCGAAAUGAUUUCAAACGACCCGUCUUGAAACACGGACCAAGGAGUCCAACAAAUAUGCGAGUGUUUGGGUGGCAAACCCGAGCGCGCAAUGAAAGUGAACAUGGGUGGGAUCCCGCAAGGGUGCACCAUCGACCGGUCUGGAAGGUUCACCAGAAGGAUCUGAGUAAGAGCAUAUUUGUUGGGACCCGAAAGAUGGUGAACUAUGCCUGAAUAGGGUGAAGCCAGAGGAAACUCUGGUGGAGGCUCGUAGAGAUUCUGACGUGCAAAUCGAUCUUCAAAUUUGGGUAUAGGGGCGAAAGACUAAUCGAACCAUCUAGUAGCUGGUUCCCUC